GGGCCCGUAGCUCAGGGGUAAAGCGCUCGCUUUGCAUGCGAGAGGCCUAGGGUUCAAAUCCCUACCGGUCCA